GUUGAACGCUGGCGGCGUGCCUAAUACAUGCAAGUCGAGCGAACGGACGAGAAGCUCUCUUCUCUUAUGUUAGCGGCGGACGGGUGAUUAACACGUGGCUAACCUACCUAUAAGACUGAGAUCACUUCGGGAAACCGGAGCUCAUACCCGAUAAUAUUUUGAACCUCAUGGUUCAACAGUGCAAGACGUUCUUGCUGUCACUUAUAGAUGUAUCCGCGCUGGAUUAGCUAGUUGGUAAGGUAACGGCUUACCAAGGCAACGAUGCAGAGACGACCUGGCAGGGUGGUUGGCCAAAAUGGAAACGAGACACGGGCCAGACUCCUACGGGAGGGAGCAGGAGGGAAACAUCCGAAAUGGGCGAAAGCCUGACGGAGGAAAGCCGCGGGGGUGAAGAAGGUCUUCGGAACGGAAAACUCUGUUAUGAGGGAAGAACAGAUGGGUAGGUAACAGUGCACAUUUUGACGGUACCUAAUAAGAAAGCCACGGCUAACCACGGGC
rnacentral:rRNA from 1 species